GACGAACGCUGGCGGCGUGCUUAACACAUGCAAGUCGAACGGAAAGGCCCUGCUUUUGUGGGGUGCUCGAGUGGCGAACGGGUGAGUAACACGUGAGUAACCUGCCCUUGACUUUGGGAUAACUUCAGGAAACUGGGGCUAAUACCGGAUAGGAGCUCCUGCUGCAUGGUGGGGGUUGGAAAGUUUCGGCGGUAGUGGAUGGUCUCGCGGCUUAUGAGCUUGUUGGUGGGGUAGUGGCUUACCAGGGCUGCGACGGGUAGCCGGCCUGAGAGGUGGACCGGCCACAAUGGGACUGAGAGACGGCCCAGACGCCUACGGUAGGCAGCAGUGGGGAAUAUGGCACAAUGGGCGGAAGCCUGAUGCAGCAACGCCGCGUGCGGGAUGACGUCCUUCGGGGGGUAAACCGCUGUCGCCGGUGACGAGGCGUGAGUGACGGUAAUGGGUAAAGAAGCACCGGCUAACUACGUG
rnacentral:rRNA from 1 species